UACGUAGGUGACCAGCGUUGUCCGGAUUUACUGGGCGUAAAGAGCGCGCAGGCGGUCGUUUCAAGUCGAGUGUGAAAGCCCCCGGCUCAACUGGGGAGAGUCACUCGAUACUGAUCGACUUGAAGGCAGGAGAGGGAAGCGGAAUUCCCGGUGUAGUGGUGAAAUGCGUAGAUAUCGGGAGGAACACCAGUGGCGAAGGGCGGCUUCCUGGCCUGGUUCUUGACGCUGAG
rnacentral:rRNA from 1 species